UACGUAGGGGGCAAGCGUUGUCCGGAUUUAUUGGGCGUAAAGCGCACGCAGGCGGUCUUGUAAGUUUUGAGUGACAGGUGGUGGCUCAACUGCCACAGGCCUUGAAAAACUGCAAGACUUGAGUGCUUCAGAGGGACGCGGAAUUCCAGGUGGAGCGGUGAAAUGCGCAAAUAUCAGGAGGAACACCGGUGGCGAAGGCGGCCAUCUGGACGGAUACGUGACGCUGAGACGCGAAAGCGUGGGGAGCAAACAGG
rnacentral:rRNA from 1 species